rnacentral:rRNA from 1 species
CCUACGGGUGGCAGCAGUGGGGGAUAUUGCACAAUGGGGGAAACCCUGAUGCAGCGACGCCGCGUGUGGGAAGACGGUCUUCUGGAUUGUAAACCACUGUCCCCAGGGACGAAAAUGACGGUACCUGGGGAGGAAGCUCCGGCUAACUACGUGCCAGCAGCCGCGGUAAUACGUAGGGAGCAAGGGUUGUCCGGAAUUACUGGGUGUAAAGGGAGCGUAGGCGGGGAUGCAAGUUGGGGGUCAAAACUACCGGCUAAACCGAUAGUCGCACUCAAAACUGCAACUCUUGAGUGAAGUAGAGGCAGGCGGAAUUCCUAGUGUAGCGGUGAAAUGCGUAGAUAUUAGGAGGAACACCAGUGGCGAAGGCGGCCUGCUGGGCUUUUACUGACGCUGAGGCUCGAAAGUGUGGGGAGCAAACAGGAUUAGAUACCCGGGUAGUC